GUGCUUGCUUCAGCAGCACAUAUACUAAAAUUGGAACGAUAUAGAGAAAUUUAACAUGGCCGCUAUGCAAUGACGACACACAAAUUCGUGAAGCAUUUCAUAUUUGU